ACCCUGGCAGUCUAGUGGUUAGGACUCGGUACUUGCACUGCUGAGGGCUUGGGUUCAAUCCCUGAUUGGGGAA
rnacentral:tRNA from 1 species